rnacentral:lncRNA from 1 species
GGCCACCGCCGAAACGUGACACGUGGAGUCUGUUGCAGGUAGUGGAACGGCGCCCGUUGUCGCGACUUGCCAGGAGGUGGGAGGAAUCGUGCGGUAUCCGUCGCAGGGAGUGGAGUAGAAUCGUGGUCAUUAUAGCGAUCUGCCAGGGAGUGAUGGAGCCGUGCGAAAUCUGUCGCAGGAGGUGGAGCAGUAUCGUGGCCGUUGCUGUGGCCCACCAGUGGUUCCAGGCCUGUCGGCCGAAGUUUGACUGGAGUGUCUGGCGGAGAGAGGUGGCUGGCCACCCGUCUGAGAGGAGCUC